ensembl:lncRNA
GUGUGAGAGGUGGCGUGGACGAGUGUGUGAGAGGUGGCGUGGACGAGUGUGUGAGAGGUGGCGUGGACGAGUGUGUGAGAGGAGGCGUGGACUAGUGUGUGUGAGGUGGCGUGGACUAGUGUGUGAGAAGUGGCGUGGACUAGUGUGUGAGAGGUGGCGUAGUCGAGAGAGAGUGGUGGCGUGGUCGAGAGAGAGUGGUGGCGUGGUCAAGAGAGAUAGAGAGAGUUGGCGUGGUUGAGAGAGAGAGAGUGAUGGCGUGGGAGAGAGAGAGAGAGAGAUGGCGUGGUCGAGAGAGAGAGAGAGUGAGAGGUGGCGUGGUCGAGAGAGAGAGAGAGAGAGUGGUGGCGUGGUCGAGAGAGAGAGAGAGAGAGAGAGUGGCGUGGUCGAGAGAGAGAGAGAGAGAGAGAGGUGGCGUGGUCGAGAGAGAGAGAGAGGUGGCGUGGUCGAGAGAGAGAGAGAGAGAGAGGUGGCGUGGUCGAGAGAGAGAGAGAGGUAGAGGUGGCGUGGUCAGGAGAGAGAGAGAGGUGGCGUGGUCGAGAGAGAGAGAGUGGUGGCGUGGUCGAGAGAGAGAGAGAGUGGUGGCGUGGUCGAGAGAGAGAGAGAGAGAGAGAGAGUGGUGGCGUGGUCGAGAGAGAGAGAGAGAGAGUGGUGGCGUGGUCGAGAGAGAGAGAGAGAGAGGUGGCGUGGUCGGGAGAGAGAGAGAGAGGUGGCGUGGUCGAGAGAGAGAGCGAGAGACAGAGGUGUAUAGCCAGCCAGUACUG